rnacentral:rRNA from 1 species
GCGGCAGACGGGUGAGUAACGCGUGGGAAUCUACCUAUCUCUACGGAAUAACCCAGGGAAACUUGGACUAAUACCGUAUACGCCCUUCGGGGGAAAGAUUUAUCGGAGAUGGAUGAGCCCGCGUUGGAUUAGCUAGUUGGUGGGGUAAAGGCCUACCAAGGCGACGAUCCAUAGCUGGUCUGAGAGGAUGAUCAGCCACAUUGGGACUGAGACACGGCCCAAACUCCUACGGGAGGCAGCAGUGGGGAAUAUUGGACAAUGGGCGAAAGCCUGAUCCAGCCAUGCCGCGUGAGUGAUGAAGGCCCUAGGGUUGUAAAGCUCUUUCAACGGUGAAGAUAAUGACGGUAACCGUAGAAGAAGCCCCGGCUAACUUCGUGCCAGCAGCCGCGGUAAUACGAAGGGGGCUAGCGUUGUUCGGAAUUACUGGGCGUAAAGCGCACGUAGGCGGACUGGUCAGUUAGGGGUGAAAUCCCGGGGCUCAACCCCGGAACUGCCUUUAAUACUGCCAGUCUUGAGUUCGAGAGAGGUGAGUGGAAUUCCGAGUGUAGAGGUGAAAUUCGU